AUGUGGAGCGCUUAGAAGUGAGAAUGCCGGUGUGAGUAGCGAAAGACGGGUGAGAAUCCCGUCCACCGAUUGACUAAGGUUUCCAGAGGAAGGCUCGUCCGCUCUGGGUUAGUCGGGUCCUAAGCUGAGGCCGACAGGCGUAGGCGAUGGAUAACAGGUUGAUAUUCCUGUACCACCUAUAAUCGUUUUAAUCGAUGGGGGGACGCAGUAGGAUAGGCGAAGCGUGCGAUUGGAUUGCACGUCUAAGCAGUAAGGCUGAGUAUUAGGCAAAUCCGGUACUCGUUAAGGCUGAGCUGUGAUGGGGAGAAGACAUUGUGUCUUCGAGUCGUUGAUUUCACACUGCCGAGAAAAGCCUCUAGAUAGAAAAUAGGUGCCCGUACCGCAAACCGACACAGGUAGUCAAGAUGAGAAUUCUAAGGUGAGCGAGCGAACUCUCGUUAAGGAACUCGGCAAAAUGACCCCGUAACUUCGGGAGAAGGGGUGCUCUUUAGGGUUAACGCCCAGAAGAGCCGCAGUGAAUAGGCCCAAGCGACUGUUUAUCAAAAACACAGGUCUCUGCUAAACCGUAAGGUGAUGUAUAGGGGCUGACGCCUGCCCGGUGCUGGAAGGUUAAGAGGAGUGGUUAGCUUCUGCGAAGCUACGAAUCGAAGCCCCAGUAAACGGCGGCCGUAACUAUAACGGUCCUAAGGUAGCGAAAUUCCUUGUCGGGUAAGUUCCGACCCGCACGAAAGGCGUAACGAUUUGGGCACUGUCUCAACGAGAGACUCGGUGAAAUCAUAGUACCUGUGAAGAUGCAGGUUACCCGCGACAGGACGGAAAGACCCCGUGGAGCUUUACUGUAGCCUGAUAUUGAAAUUCGGCACAGCUUGUACAGGAUAGGUAGGAGCCUUUGAAACGUGAGCGCUAGCUUACGUGGAGGCGCUGGUGGGAUACUACCCUAGCUGUGUUGGCUUUCUAACCCGCACCACUUAUCGUGGUGGGAGACAGUGUCAGGCGGGCAGUUUGACUGGGGCGGUCGCCUCCUAAAAGGUAACGGAGGCGCUCAAAGGUUCCCUCAGAAUGGUUGGAAAUCAUUCAUAGAGUGUAAAGGCAUAAGGGAGCUUGACUGCGAGACCUACAAGUCGAGCAGGGUCGAAAGACGGACUUAGUGAUCCGGUGGUUCCGCAUGGAAGGGCCAUCGCUCAACGGAUAAAAGCUACCCCGGGGAUAACAGGCUUAUCUCCCCCAAGAGUUCACAUCGACGGGGAGGUUUGGCACCUCGAUGUCGGCUCAUCGCAUCCUGGGGCUGUAGUCGGUCCCAAGGGUUGGGCUGUUCGCCCAUUAAAGCGGUACGCGAGCUGGGUUCAGAACGUCGUGAGACAGUUCGGUCCCUAUCCGUCGUGGGCGUAGGAAAUUUGAGAGGAGCUGUCCUUAGUACGAGAGGACCGGGAUGGACAUACCUCUGGUGUACCAGUUGUCGUGCCAACGGCAUAGC
rnacentral:rRNA from 1 species